rnacentral:rRNA from 1 species
GACGAACGCUGGCGGCGCGCUUAACACAUGCAAGUCGAGCUAAGCGGCGGACGGGUGAGUAACACGUGAGUAACCUGCCUUAGACAUUGGGAUAGCCUCGGGAAACCGGGAUUAAUACCACAUGGUCUAAGAUGGACUCGCGUCCCAUUCGCUAGUUGGUGAGGUAACGGCCCACCAAGGCGACGAUGGGUAGCCGGCCUGGGAUGGUGAACGGCAACAUUGGAACUGAGAAACGGGCCAAACUCUACGGGAGGCAGCAGUGGGGAAGAGUGCACAAUGGAGGGAACUCUGAUGCAGCGACGCCGCGUGAACGAAGAAGGCUUUCGAGUCGUAAAGUUCUGUUAUAUGGGAAGCGGUACCAUAAGAAAAAGCCCCGGCUAACUACGUGCCAGCAGCCGCGGUAAUAC